rnacentral:rRNA from 1 species
AUUGAACGCUGGCGGCAGGCCUAACACAUGCAAGUCGAGCGGAUGAAGGGAGCUUGCUCCUGGAUUCAGCGGCGGACGGGUGAGUAAUGCCUAGGAAUCUGCCUGGUAGUGGGGGAUAACGUCCGGAAACGGGCGCUAAUACCGCACACGUCCUGAGGGAGAAAGUGGGGGAUCUUCGGACCUCACGCUAUGAGAUGAGCCUAGGUCGGAUUAGCUAGUUGGUGGGGUAAAGGCCUACCAAGGCGACGAUCCGUAACUGGUCUGAGAGGAUGAUCAGUCACACUGGAACUGAGACACGGUCCAGACUCCUACGGGAGGCAGCAGUGGGGAAUAUUGGACAAUGGGCGAAAGCCUGAUCCAGCCAUGCCGCGUGUGUGAAGAAGGUCUUCGGAUUGUAAAGCACUUUAAGUUGGGAGGAAGGGCAGUAAGUUAAUACCUUGCUGUUUUGACGUUACCAACAGAAUAAGCACCGGCUAACUUCGUG